GUGUCAGCCGCCGCGGUAAUACCGGCAGCCCGAGUGAUGGCCGAUAUUAUUGGGCCUAAAGCGUCCGUAGCUGGCCGGACAAGUCCGUUGGGAAAUCUGUCCGCUUAACGGGCAGGCGUCCAGCGGAAACUGUUCGGCUUGGGACCGGAAGACCUGAGGGGUACGUCCGGGGUAGGAGUGAAAUCCUGUAAUCCUGGACGGACCACCGGUGGCGAAAGCGCCUCAGGAGGACGGAUCCGACAGUGAGGGACGAAAGCUAGGGUCUCGAACCGGAUUAGAAACCCCUGUAGUCC
rnacentral:rRNA from 1 species